CUUAGAGUUCAUGCCACCCUGAACGAGCCCGAUCCCAUCUGAUCUUAGAAGCUAAGCAGGGUUGGGCCUGGUUAGUACUUGGAUGGGAGACCACCUAGGAAGACCAGGUGCUGUAGGC
rnacentral:rRNA from 1 species